UACGUAGGGUCCAAGCGUUAUCCGGAAUCACUGGGCGUAAAGCGUUUGUAGGCGGAAAUUUAAGUGAGAUGCGAAAUCUUGUGGCUCAACCAUAUAGACGGUAUCUCAUACUGGGUUCUAGAAGAUAGCAGAGGUAAGUGGAAUUCCUGGUGUAGCGGUGAAAUGCGCAGAUAUCAGGAGGAACACCGGUGGCGAAGGCGGGUCUCUGGGCCGAUACUGACGCUGAGGAGCGAAAGCGUGGGGAGCGAACAGG
rnacentral:rRNA from 1 species